rnacentral:lncRNA from 1 species
AUCUGUCCUUAUUAAAAGGAAGUGCAGAAGUUCAGCUGGAUAUAUUCUGCAGCACAGGCUGACUGUUUCAGGGCAGGAGUGGGGGGAAGCUGAUGCAGAGAGGAAAAUGAAGAUUUCAGAGACAGAAUAUUUAUGUUGUGAAGGCAGAACUUCUGAAGUAUGGUCAAGCUUAAUAUAAGUUGGAAAGGAAAAGAGAACAACAACAACCACAACAAAAAGCAAGCAUAAAGUUCUCCCUUGGGAGAGAAAAGGAACCGCAGGCCCUGGCAGAAGCAGUUUAUGACAGGUUUAAGUCAGGACUCUCUUUAAAAGAAACAAGAUCUCACUGCUGGCAGCACAUGUCUGGUGAACUCAUCCUGCAAGAGGAGCAGAACUGGUUCCUGAGCUGGAUAGGCUCUCAAUAUCAUCAUGUACAUCCAUUUAUCAUCAAGAACUACAAAACACUGUAACCAGUUUGUCUUACUGACAGUCUUUGACAUACAGAAAAUCCAGGCAAAGUUUUCUUUACAUACUUUCCCAGUGUAUUAGUGCAGAUAUUAAUUAAUUAACAAAGAGCUUGAAUAACCUAAAAUUUCUGCACAAGUUUUCAGUUAGCAAAAUAAGGGUUUGUACUCUUUCUGCGAGGAGCAAUACUAUUCAUUUCAGGGCCUUCAGGUAUUUAAACUUGGUCAUUAUAUAUAAAUAUGAUAUGAGAGAAAGUACGUACUUAUUAUAAUAUAGUCUAGCUAAAAUUAAACACUGAUCCUUCAGUAUGUAUUUAUCAUAGGCCAUUAAUUUUUAAGAACUGUUUUCAGCUUGAUGUUGGAUGGAAAUAAGAAGAAAAUGUCAUUUCCAGAAGAAGCAUUGCAAAUAUAAGGCCACACAUUUAAUACACACAGAGUUUUAUAUCUUCUAUGGUAAAAUGCCAUAUAUAACCUGAGACAGUCCUAGAAAUCAAAAAGUUGUGUUGCUGCUUUUUCAUUCAAGAAAACUGAAGAACAGUGACUGAAGUGCUUACCUCAGUACAUCAGAGAGGCACAAGAGAUAAAUGCUACUUGCAAAAAUACCUUGUGUGGAAAAAUGUUAAUUAAUUGAAGACAAACUUCGUCAAGGAAUUUGACAACUCUUGAUAGUCUUACCAUUUGGAAAGACUAUUUAAACAUGAUGGCAUUAGAAAAUAACAACCAGCUGGAGUAUCUACCUGAAAAAUGGGAAAGGAGUGUAACCAGUUGAUUUUGAAUGUGUAUUCCUGCCUAGAUUUCCAUGGGUAAAAGAUGGUUGGGUCAUUCAUCAUAGUUGCUGAACUAUUCUCUUUAAAGGGAAUUGUUUCUAAGAACACCAAUAGUGUUAGUGUUCAGGAAAUGAAGGUGACCUUGUCUCUUUUCUUUCUUUAAUUAGCUGUCAUUAGGGUUAGUUGUAGCUAUAGUUAGAAUAGGC